rnacentral:ncRNA from 1 species
AAUAGCGCAAGUACUGAACGGAGACAGACGAUUUCAGUAGACGAGGUAGAGGAGUAUCGAAGUGUCAGCGGAUGCCUCUCGGCCCGAUAGGGUCGUCAGCGAAACAGCAAAGACCGAUGGUGACAUCGGAGACAAAGGGUU